AUAUAAAGAUUGAUAAAUAUUUUUUUAUUGUUACCUCGAAAAUAUUGUAAUAUUUCAAAGUAUGAUUCUUAGCAUCGUUAUUUAUAGAUGGUUAAAUAGUUAGGGUAUUGUAGAGAGUAUAUUCUUUGAAACCUAUAACUAAUAGACAUUAAAUAGUACGAUAUUAUGUAUUAGUUGUUAUGGAAAAUAUAGUAGAUUUGUUGAGUAGAUAACGACAACAACAAUUAGUGAAAUCUAACAAAUAUGUUUGAUAUAUAUCGUUAGAAUAUUAGAAGUUGCAAGUCCAAGCAAAAAAUCUAGAAAAAUCGUACCUAUUGAGAUAUUUUGCUUCUAUAUACUUGCUUUUCAAGUUAAAAAAUAUUACAACUAAAUUGAUUUUAUGAUUAUACUUGCUUUUUGAGAAAAAUAUAUUUUUGACUUUAGUCACAAAUUUUGUCGCUGUUUCAAAACUACCGAUUGGUAUAGGUUUAUUUAGAAGGAAAAAAAAUGAAUUUUAUCACAAAACUUUUAGAUGGUUUUAAAUCUAGUAUGGGUAAAGAUUAAUAUGUGUAUAAUGUUGGUUUAACUGGUUAACCGGCAGUAUAGUCACAUCAAAACCAAAAGAAAAAAAAAAGAUAAUUUGAAUCAAACUUACGAUUGAUAUGGAUUUAUAAUGAAGAAAAUAUUAAUUUUGAAUUAGAUCACACAACUUGUAAGUGGUUUGAAAAUUAGAAUGGGUAAAGAUUAAGAUAUGUUUAAUGUUGGUAUAACUGGUUAACACACCAAAACAAAAAUAUGAAAAUAAUUCUAAUCAAACCAUAUUGAUGAUUUACAACAACAAAUCCAAAACGGAAUGAUUGAAUUCGUUAAAUUUGUGAUUGAAUAAGACUCGUUUUGCUAUCAUUUGAAAGACAACUGGCUUCUAUUAUUCUAUGGUCGCGUGAGAAGGUCACGCAAUAUUUUCGUUUGCGCUUUUGCUUUGUUCCUUGCGCUCAUUGAUGGUUGAAUAAGGAGAAUGAGAUCUCACCAAGGUGGUCGUAAACUGACGGUUCUUCAACUUCUAUGCGCCGUUGCAGUUUUCUCCAUCCUCCUCUUCGUCACCAUCCAAUCUUCCUUAUUCGCAACAGAUAAUAGCAAUCGCAAGCUAUUCUUUCAUCCGGAAGAUAUUAAGAUCUUGUCAGUGUUUCAAUCCAGCGUUCAACAGUGUGUGGGGGACAGAGGUCUUGGACUAUCUGCUCAUAGUAUCGAUCACUGCAACUUGAUCCUCAAGUUCCCUCAAGGCACUAACAACACUUGGGUAUGUUUAACUGCUUUUUUUUUUUUGAAAUUUCAUUGGUUUUGAAGAGAUCAAGCUUUCACACUUGUUUAGUAUCUUUCAAUGACAGUA